ACUCUGAGUAGGUAACAGGUACCAGCUACUGUCAGCAGGGAGGAAGGUAUGUGGUGACCACGAGUCCAGACCUGAGGGUCCCGAUCCUCUAAUGCGGCCUCUCACCAGUGUUCGCAGAAACCCACCCGCUGAUUCAAUACGGGGACCAGGAACCUGCCGUGACAGUCACGACUCAGUCUGCCUGCACCCACAUGAUUAAAAAGCUUUAUUGCUCACACAAAGCCUGUUUGGUGGUCUCUUCACAUGGAUGUGCAUAACAUUUGGUGCCAAAGACCCCGGACAGUGUGACUCCUUCGGGAGAUUGGUCCCCUGUCCUCACCCUCACUCCAUGAGAAGAUCCACCUACGACCUCAGGUCCUCAGACCAGCCCAAGGAACAUCUCACCAAUUUCAAAUCGGAAGACAGGAAUGUCAGGCCUCUGAGCCCGAGCUAAGCCAUCAUAUCCCCUGUGACCUGCACUUAUACAUCCAGAUGGCCUGAAGCAACUGAAGAACCACAAAGAAGUGAAAAUACGCAGUUCCUGCCUUAACUGAUGACAUUCCACCACUGUAAUUUGUUCCUGCCCCACUCUAACUGAUCAGUUGACCUUGUGACAUUCCUUCUCCUGGACAAUAAAUCUCAGGAGCUCCCCACCGAGCACCUUGUGACCCCCACCUGUACCCGCAAGAGGACAACCCCCUUUAACUGUAAUUUUCCACUACCUACACAAAUCCUAUAAAACCGCCCCAUCCCUAUCUCCCUUUGCUGACUCUUUUUUCAGACUCAGUCUGCCUGCACCCACACGAUUAAAAAGCUUUAUUGCUCACACAAA